rnacentral:rRNA from 1 species
AGCGAACGCUGGCGGCAGGCCUAACACAUGCAAGUCGAACGCACCGCAAGGUGAGUGGCAGACGGGUGAGUAACACGUGGGAACGUGCCCUUCGGUUCGGAAUAACUCAGGGAAACUUGAGCUAAUACCGGAUACGUCCGAGAGGAGAAAGAUUUAUCGCCGAGGGAUCGGCCCGCGUCUGAUUAGCUAGUUGGUAGGGUAACGGCCUACCAAGGCGACGAUCAGUAGCUGGUCUGAGAGGAUGAUCAGCCACACUGGGACUGAGACACGGCCCAGACUCCUACGGGAGGCAGCAGUGGGGAAUAUUGGACAAUGGGCGAAAGCCUGAUCCAGCCAUGCCGCGUGAGUGAUGAAGGCCCUAGGGUUGUAAAGCUCUUUCGGCGGGGACGAUAAUGACGGUACCCGCAGAAGAAGCCCCGGCUAACUUCGUGCCAGCCGCCGCCGUAAAAC